rnacentral:rRNA from 1 species
GACGAGGGGACGAGCGUUGUCCGGAUUCAUUGGGCGUAAAGCGCGCGUAGGCGGUUCGGUAAGUCGGGUGUGAAAACACGAGGCUCAACCUCGUGCGUGCAUCCGAUACUGCCGGACUAGAGGUAGGUAGGGGAGAUCGGAAUUCCUGGUGUAGCGGUGAAAUGCGCAGAUAUCAGGAGGAACACCGGUGGCGAAGGCGGUUCUCUGGGAAUAUCCUGACGCUGAGGAGCGAAAAGUGUGGGGGAGCG